AGGGGCCUGAGCGCCUCAUCGCCUCCCUGGGCUCCUCAGGGAGUGGAAAACACCACUGAGAUGUUAUUAUUACUAUUCUUCAUGGCCGGACUACUAAAAUCGCCUCGCAGUUGCUGUGCCCGGCGGCCUGUUUUGAUAACCGAUGAGGCCGUGGGAUUGGGGGGGGGGGUAAUUUGUCCAGGCUGUGCCGUUUAAAAGAUUUCUCAGUGUGUUACUCGGUUUGAAUUUUUUUCCCCCUUCCACAAGUCAGAUCCCAGCUGUUAGCAAUCUAACUAUAUUAAUACCUACCUAAUUGAAUAUUGGAAGUGAUGUUUCUCCUACAGUCCCUUUAGGGCUUCAGGCUGACACGCAGCUUAAGCAUCUGCAGAGGGAUCGCUGCAAGUCGGAGGUCUCAGGUGGCAAAGAGCUCCCUGGAAGAUAAAACCUUUACAGGCAAAUGGGUGUGCAGGUUUCACUGCAGGCAGAGGCUUGCUGGGGCAGCAGCAAUUGUCUGAGGAAAUCGAAUAAGCUGUUGGUGCUGCUUUGAAGAUCCCCGUUUGAAAGGGAUUGAGGAGAUGGACACUCAUAAUUCACAAUUUAAAUGAGACUACUUCUUGAGGAAAAGUUUGUCUUCAGGAUUUGGAUAUAGUAACUCGAAACAUCAAAGGUAGUGGGGGACAAGAUGUAACUAACAAAUUGUAUAAAAUAUUUCUUGUAGUAUGUUAAUCCCCUCUCACUGCUUGCUUAAAGUUGUGGAUCUUUUUUAGUGAACUAUUUAUUACCUAUGUAUUAAAUCUAUAUUUAUUAAACCUAUAUUUAAACUUGC